rnacentral:sRNA from 1 species
GCAACAUCUAUAGACCCUGUAUCCUGU